CGCAAUCUGACUUGUAGGUCUACUGGUUAGGUAUGAGUUCAUAUGACAUUUUGGGUUAUGGUUUGGUUCGACUAAAUGCCUCCUUGAUCUCACCAGGUCAUAUUUUGCGUUAACCUUGCCCAAGUCUAAACUGAAUCCAAACCAUGAAGUUUACCUUGUAUAUAAUGUUUGUUUUACCCUUAUACUCCCUAUGUUUCCUAUCAAGUUUAUUAAUUGUCCUUUGGGACUAUGAUAUUAGAGAAUAGUUUUACACACGUUUGUCAUGGUUUCAUAUUUCAGUUUUUAUUUCAAAAACAUGGAACCUAAUGCUGCCUGCCAACCAACACCACCUAAUGCUGCCUGCCAACAUCACCACCGUCUCCACCAUUGUAACCUUAUUCACCGGACGAGUUUUAAAUUUUUGGUGUUCAACAAAAAAAAGGAGAAACUAACUUUAAGUUUUGAAAAAAAAAGAAAACUGAAGAACAGUUACUUUAAAGGGCAUGAAGGAGAUGAGCAUUCAGAAAAAUGGUGUAGUCCCAAGUUGGACCUAAAGCCAACUCCUUCCUAACUCAGUCCAACCCGAACUUGAAUGUGACCAAUUCUUGGAUGGAUAAAAUUUGGGUUAAAUUUGUAAAUCCUAGAAGUCCAACAUGCUCAAUACUAGGCUAGCAGAAACACAGACCUGACUCAUUAGUGGUACCAUCUAGCUCUAUAAUGAUUUAGGGAAUAUUGUGUUUGAAGUAGUUGCUUCGAAACAGUUGGCAUUCAUUGCACCAAGCACUCAGGCAUUAGGGUUUUACAAAUGGGGUGAAGAUGUUCUCUUUCUUUCAAAUGCUGGAGACUGAGUGCUCUUGAAAAAACCUUGCCGAUAAGAUUCAGUAAUUUGGUUUCCCUAGUAUUUUUUUCGGAAAAAAUACUUCAGGUAUCGGUGUUCCUUAAAGUCCCCAAAAUCAAUCUAUCGCUGAUUCGACAACUCGACAUCGAACCACCUCCCUUAUCACACUUCUCAUGUUACACUAAUCCCUGCUAGUUACACUUCUCAUGUACAAAAGGUAUUAUUAGUAUUAGGUAUAGAUUAUAGCAAAUGCUAUGGAGCUUGAAAGAAAAUUUUUAAUUGGUUUUGCAUCAAUACUUUUAUCUUGGGCAAAAUCUCAACCUGUAUUGAUGCAACAUAUAGAAAAUCUUGACCCUUAUUAACUACAUUACUAUAAAUUGGUAAAGCUUAAGAUAUCAGCCAGUCCUAUAAAAACAUAUUGGCCAAUACAUUUUAAAACGUGAAUUUACUCUCUUAAAUAAGUUUCUAAGUUAACUAUUUUUAAAAUAAAUAAUUAACAACCAAAAAUUUUUGGUAGCUUUUUUUUCAUUUUCAAAUUUGCUCGCUUGCUCACGGAAGGUUCUUAUAAUAGUACGGGUUUGUUGACCUCAUAAAGGCGAUCCAUCGUGACAACAAAUUCCACGAUAACAAGAAACAAAAAUUAUUCAUUCGGUGCCUACUCGUUUUCCUCUCUUUAAUUCCCAAUGAACAAUAUGAUCUUAGCCUAUUAUUUAUUCAAUUUGGUCAAUCAAAUUUAGUUCACUCAUUCAUCUUGAUUUUCUCUGAUUACCUAAUUGAUAACGAACUCCUCAAUGAGCAAUGCCGCAGGUUGCUAGUCUUUGCUUUGCCGGUCAACCAUAAAAAAAGAGAUUGAUUGCCUCACCAAUGAUGAUUUAAAAAAAUUCUUGCUUAUUUUUUAUUGCUUUAAUCGACCGGAACUACUCAAAUAAAACUAAUUGCCAAUCUCCAAUUUACCAUACCGGCCAUAAGUUCAAUAUCUCCAUCUUAAAAAUCGGCAAAAAUUUUAAAAAAAUCCUAGAUCCUUUUUAAGUUUUCCCAUCUAUCAUAUCAACGAGAUGAUUAUCCACCAAGGUGUUCGGCAUCAUACUUUUUUAAUAAAAAAAACACUUAUUUACAUCUAAAUUAACAUGCCAUUCCUGUCAAAUCUUAGCAGCAUGCUUCUGAUGGGCCUGUAAUGACCCCAUUUUUCUAGUCUCUUCAUUGUUUAAGGAUUCUCCUGCUCUGCUUCCCUAUUGCAUUCAAAACAGUAGAAAAUAAAUAAACAAAAUACCAGCACAUUCUAAUGAGGAAUCCCAUGAUUCCAUUAGUCAGGUCCCUUUAUAACUUACCAGAAGAAAAAUCUAGUGACUCCAAUGGUAUCUCUUUACCGCUCCUUCCGUAACAGUUUCUAUUAAACAUGUAAAAUGGAAAGUUGAUAUCAAAGACGAAAGUAUUUGGCUGACUAAAAUUGAAGGUAAGAAAAGGAAGCUCCUUGGUUGAUGAUCUUGAGAAACUACUGCUUUUUGGUAGACCUAUCUAAAAUAGCAGAUAGUCAAAGAAAUGUUCCUUCUUGCAAGGAGCAGGUCUUCACCCAUUUUAGGUGCUUAUUGAAUCUGUAGAUGUUUCCAGGGGAUAAUGUAACAGUGGCGACAGUACCCCUAUAACAUGACGAGUUUCAAAUUUUUAGGUGCCUGUCAACAUGACCACCUUCUCCACCAUUGUAACCUUAUUCACCUGACGAGUUUCAAAUUUUUGGUAUUCAACAGAAAAGGAAAAACUGACUUUAAUUUUUGAAAAAAAAAAAAAGAAAACUGAAAAACAGUAACCACCUGCCUUUCCUUUAAAGGGCAUGAAGGAAAUGAACAUUCGGAAAAAUGGCAUAGUCCCAAUAAGAUCCAAUCCAACUCAGGUCUUGAACCUAAAGCCAACUCCUUCCUGACUCAGUCCAACGCGAACUUGAAUUCGACCAAUUCUUGGAUGGAUAAAAUUUGGGUUAAAUGUGUAAAUCCUAGGAGUCCAACAUGCUCAAUACUAGGCUAGCAGAAACACAGACCUGACUCAACAUGAUAGCACCCUUAUGUGUGAUUAGAGGUGUGAAUCUACCACGUACCAGUUUUUUAUAGAUGAUGGGGCAGGCUAAUGGUACCAUCUAGCUCUAUAAUGAUUUAUGGGAUAUUGUGUUUGAAGUAGUUGCUUAGAAACAGUUGGCAUUCAUUGCACCAAGCACUCAGGCAUUAAGGUUUUACGAAUGGGGUGAAGAUGUUCUCUUUCUUUCAAAUGCUGGAGA
rnacentral:lncRNA from 1 species